AAGACAGGUCUGAAAACAGGAGACAAAGGGCAUGAAAGGGGAUGUAUGUGAAGGACAACAGAAGUUGAACAACAUGAAAGGGGAUGUAUGAGAAGGACAACAGAAGUUGAACAACAUGAAAGGGGAUGUAUGCGAAGGGCAACAGAAGUUGAACAGCAGAGGAGGUAAUCAUUUUGGAUAAACAGGGGGGAGGGGUUUGUGGGAUUCCACCCAGAGGGGCAUAUCCCAUGGUGGACAGCCGGGGAGCUGGGGUCCGAUGGCGAUCCGCUUGUCGUCAAUAUCUGGAGGUGGUCUUGAAGAGGGCCGACCGGGCUGUCCUCCAAGUACGACGACAGCGACGGACAAACGUCUGGGCAGAAGGGAUAAAUACACUGGGGUAAAAUAAGCGACCCCUGAAUGGGGUGGAGACAAUCACAGGAACAGGUGAAACAGAUCAGGGCGUGACAGCCAUCCCAUGUGACAAAAGCAGCGGUGUGGCGUCUCUACAAGGAAUCGAUGAAAACACUUGCUGGUUGGACUGGAGGAUGAUACGGUGCUGGUGGAAAGCUAUGGCUGGCAACAACACCUGACUCUGUACUUCAGGCCACUGACACAGAUCAAGCAAUAGCAGCACUUCAGCUUCAAAGCUCUGGAGCAUGGUGUUGUUGUCGCCAAGGAGCGUUCGGACUCAGUCUGCGCAACGAUGACGUCCUUCCUCCCAUAGAUGGUCCGUCUGUACAAGCACCACCUGGACUGUACAAGCACACCGCUAGACAAACUUAGAUUUUUGAGAAGAUCAGGGAGUUUUUGCGACGAAGAGGCAAUGGGACAUCACAUGUCCUGACCCAAAGUCGAGGGCAGGACAGAAACAGGCUCUCCGAAGAUAGAUUCCCUUGUUCAUGCCUAGUUCGGACGGACCAGUCAUCACCACUGUCCGCAGUGCCUCUAUUAAUUAAAAUGACUCUCUCCUAACACACACACACACACACACACACACACACACACACACACACACACACACACACACACACACACACACACACACACACACACACACACAUACGUUGCUGCUACUAUUUUUUAUCCUGCUGCUCAGCCACUUUACCACUGAUUGUAUGCAUAUAAACCUAACUACCUCGUCUAUCACUAUCGCUAUUGAUAUUGUUGGUAUUGUACAUACUGUAUUUUAUUUAUAGUGACGCUGUACAUUUCUGAUAUUGCAUCUAUGCAAGUAACCAUUUGGCUGUACCGCAGGUAAAGCAAUUUAAUUGAUGAAGACAUCGCAGAUGAAGUUAUGUGUAACAUUAGAGAGGUUUUCUCAGAAAGCCACUUCGCAUCGCUAGUUCUGUAGAGACCCAUCCACGUAGCAAGACUUAGCAACAAACAAAAAAAUAUAUUAUAAAAAUAAAUAUAUAUAUAUAAAAUGAAUAUUGAUAUGUGCGUUCGUAACAUGAUUUUGUGACAUACCACAACAAUAUUCAACAAUAUACAGUGCCUUGCGAAAGUAUUCGGCAUGCCCAAUUUUUCAGUUUGUGAUUUGUUGAAAAAGUUUGAAAUAUCCAAUAAAUGUCGUUCCACUUCA